GCGGGCGUGGUGGAAUUGGUAGACACGCAGGAUUUAGGUUCCUGUGGUUAACGCCAUGGGGGUUCGAGUCCCUUCGCCCGCACCA
rnacentral:tRNA from 1 species